GCCCUGGUAGUGUAAUGGUUAAGCACUCAGCUGCUAACUGAAAUUUAGUGGUUCGAACCCACUCAGGAGCU
rnacentral:tRNA from 1 species